rnacentral:rRNA from 1 species
GAUGAACGCUGGCGGCGUGCCUAAUACAUGCAAGUCGAGCGAACAGACGAGAAGCUUGCUUCUCUGAUGUUAGCGGCGGACGGGUGAGUAACACGUGGAUAACCUACCUAUAAGACUGGGAUAACUUCGGGAAACCGUAGCUAAUACCGGAUAAUAUAUUGAACCGCAUGGUUCAAAAGUGAAAGACGGUCUUGCUGUCACUUAUAGAUGGAUCCGCGCUGCAUUAGCUAGUUGGUAAGGUAACGGCUUACCAAGGCAACGAUGCAUAGCCGACCUGAGAGGGUGAUCGGCCACACUGGAACUGAGACACGGUCCAGACUCCUACGGGAGGCAGCAGUAGGGAAUCUUCCGCAAUGGGCGAAAGCCUGACGGAGCAACGCCGCGUGAGUGAUGAAGGUCUUCGGAUCGUAAAACUCUGUUAUUAGGGAAGAACAUAUGUGUAAGUAACUGUGCACAUCUUGACGGUACCUAAUCAGAAAGCCACGGCUAACUACGUG